ACGCUCGACACCUCGGGGGCAGCAGUGGGGAAUAUUGCACAAUGGGGGAAACCCUGAUGCAGCGACGCCGCGUGGAGGAAGAAGGUCUUCGGAUUGUAAACUCCUGUUGUUGGGGAAAAAGAGGAUGGUACCCAACAAGGAAGUGACGGCUAACUACGUACCAGCAGCCGCGGUAAUCUGAGCGGGCUGGCAAGGC
rnacentral:rRNA from 1 species